UACGUAGGGUGCAAGCGUUAAUCGGAAUUACUGGGCGUAAAGCGUGCGCAGGCGGCUUUGCAAGACAGAUGUGAAAUCCCCGGGCUUAACCUGGGAACUGCAUUUGUGACUGCAUGGCUGGAGUGCGGCAGAGGGGGAUGGAAUUCCACGUGUAGCAGUGAAAUGCGUAGAGAUGCGGAGGAACACCGAUGGCGAAGGCAGCCCCCUGGGCUGACACUGACGCUCAGGCACGAAAGCGUGGGAGCAAACAGG
rnacentral:rRNA from 1 species